CUCCCUCAAAAUCCCAUUCAGCCGCAUCCCUCUCCUCCACCGGCCACCGCACCGCAGCUUGACACCAUGUUCCCGCCGGCCACGUCCACCGUGCUACCGGACCCGGCCCGGUUCUUCGCGCCGGGGCUCCUCUCCGCGCCGCUGCCGACCAACUCCUUCUUCCAGAACUUCGCGCUCGGCGACGGCGACAUGCCGGAGUACAUCCACCCUUACCUAAUCAGGUCCGCCGCCGCGGGGCUCACGGUGUGCUAUCCAAGGCGGAGCCACUCCGCGUCCUCCAUCGUCCAGGCCUUCGUCGCCGACCUCACUGUCUCGUCCCUGCCCGCCGCCGCCCAGCCCAGCCACCGCAUCGCCGCCUUCGACGACCUCUCCGUCACCCUCGACGUCUCGCCUUCGCUCCGCGCGUUCCUCGUCCGCGGCUGCCCCUACGUCACCGUCGCCGUCGCCGCCGUCGGCGUUGGCAUCUCCGUCGCCACCGGCACCGACCACGCCUUCCUCGAGGCCGCUCCCUGCGACGGGACGCUCACCAAGUGGCGCCUCCGGAUGACCAGCGGCCAGACUUUUCUCUCGUACGCCGACGCGCCGAUCCAGCUCUCGCGGUCCGGCGACUCGCAGCUGUCGGCGCCCGGGUUCUCCGUCGUGGUCCGUGUCGCGUAUCUGCCUGACGCGGCCAUGGAGGCUGAUCUUGAUCGCUACAGCCGGUGCUUCCCGACGGCCGGGGACGCCGUGCUUAACCGGCCGUUCAGCAUCGAGUAUACGUGGCGCAAGCAGGGGACGGGAGACCUGCUCAUGCUCGCGCAUCCGCUCCAUCUCUGGCUGCUUAGCCUCAGCAAGUGUCUCUCUGUCGCUAAGGACUUCCGGUACCGGAGCAUCGACGGCGACCUCGUCGGCGAUUCUUGGCUCUUAAACCCCGGCGAACUAUCCCCUUCAUGGCAUUCUCGGGAGGGCAUCAAGGACGGCGGGGUGGACGAGAUCGUGGCCGCGCUGCGCAUGGACGUGGACGGCCUUGCUUCCUCCAGCCCCAUCACGACCACUUCGUGCUACCUCUACGGGAAGGCGAUAGCCAGGGCGGCGACGCUGGCGCUGAUCGCGGAGGAGGUCCGGUGCCCGGACGUCAUCCCGGAGGUGCGUCGGUUCCUGACCGCCACCGUCACGCCGUGGCUGGACGGCACCUUCCAGCCGAACGGCUUCCUGUACGACCCCAAGUGGGGCGGGCUCCUCACCCGACAGGGGCUGACGGACUCCGGCGCCGACUCCGGCUUCGGGAUGUUCAACGAGCACCACUACCAGCUGGGGUACUUCGUGUACGCCAUCGCCGUGCUCGUCAGGAUCGACCCAUCCUGGGGGAGGGAGCACAGGCCGCAGGCCUACUCCGUGGUCGCCGACUACCUGACGCUGUCCCGAGAUAGCGGCGCGAGGUGCACCAGGCUGAGGAACUUCGAUCUCUGGAAGCUGCAUUCCUGGCCCGGAGGGCUGACGGAGUCCGGCGACGUGCGCAGCCAGGAGCGGACCGGCGAGGCCGUGAACGCCUACUACUCCGCCAAGCUCCUCGGCCUGAUUUACAAGGACAGCAGCCUGGUCACCGCCGGCACGACGCUGGCCGCGUUCGAGAUGCUGGCGGCGCAUACGUGGUGGCACGUCCCGAGGCCGGAGGCGGAAGGGGCCACGACGUACGAGGCCGGAUUCAGCCGCGGCACCCGCGUCGUCGGCGUCGUGUGGGCGAACAAGAGGGACAGCCGCCCCAGCCUCUGCCCGCCGGAGUGGAAGGAACGCAGGGUGGGCAUGCAGGUGCUGCCGCUCCUGCCGACCACCCGGGCUCUCUUCCUGGACAUCCCGUUCGUGCGGGAGCUGGUGGCCUGGUCGACCACGCCGGCCUCGUCGGGGCGGCAGGGCGCCGGUGACGGAUGGAAGGGCUUCGUGCAUGCGCUGGAAGGGAUCUACGACAAGUACUCGGCCCUGGAGAAGGCGAGGGCGCUGACGGCACUCGACGACGGGAACUCGCUGACGAACCUGCUGUGGUGGCUCCACAGUCGGUGUUACAGGAGCCAUGACCUUCUUCUCGAUCUUGGCCAUGGUGUCGAGAUUCUGAGCACCGUCCUCUACAGGCCGAGGCCGGUGGACGAGUUGGUUAACUCUCUCUUGGAGGACGGCGACGAGUCCGGCGUCCGUGCUCCGUCUCGCCGGUGA
rnacentral:rRNA from 1 species